rnacentral:snRNA from 1 species
CUCAGCAGCACAUGGAUCCUUCUCAAANAACGAUAUAGAGAAGAUUAGCAUGACCCCUGCGCAAGGAUGACACGCAAAUUCGUGAAGUGUUCCAUAUUUUU